UAAGUUCCGACCUGCACGAAUGGCAUAAUGAUGGCGGCGCUGUCUCCAGCAGAGACUCAGUGAAAUCGAAAUCGCAGUGAAGAUGCUGUGUACCCGCGGCUAGACGGAAAGACCCCAUGAACCUUUACUGUAGCUUUGUAUUGGACUUUGAACAGAUCUGUGUAGGAUAGGUGGGAGGCUUUGAAGCGUGGACGCCAGUUCGCGUGGAGCCAACCUUGAAAUACCACCCUGGCAACUUUGAGGUUCUAACUCAGGUCCGUUAUCCGGAUCGAGGACAGUGUAUGGUGGGUAGUUUGACUGGGGCGGUCUCCUCCCAAAGAGUAACGGAGGAGUGCGAAGGUAACCUCAGCGCGGUCGGAAAUCGCGCAGUGAGUGCAUAGGCAUAAGGUUGCUUGACUGCAAGACAAACAAGUCGAGCAGGUACGAAAGUAGGUCAUAGUGAUCCGGUGGUUCUGUAUGG
rnacentral:rRNA from 11 species